GGAGGAAUGGCAGAGAUGGAUUAUUGCACCUGACUUGAAAUCAGACGGGUCUAGCGAUAGGCUCCAGGGGUUCGAAUCCCCUUUCCUCCUCCA
rnacentral:tRNA from 5 species